GUUACCUAUUCAAAAUAUGUAUAUAUUCAAAGUAAUAAUAACGUAAACUAAAAAUAACAGUGACAUGAAGGAAGUUUUCAUGGUUAUCAACCUUCAUUAAUUCAGGAUGUGUUCGGGGCUGUGGUCAGUGCGUGCAAGCAUCUGCUGAUAACAAGCGAGCACGAUUUUCUGCCUGUGUGUGUACGUGUGUGUGUGUGUGUGUUAGUGUUUGUACUGGAAACACCCGCGGGGCAAGACCAGAACAGACGCUCGCCGACUAAAACAGACCGCACAGCACAGCAGGCGUUCGUGGGUUAGCACAUGUAAAAUGCCAAAAACUUUGAAAAGAAACCCAACCAGUGCGAUAGAAAUCAGCUUGAAAAAUGAAAGCGAGCAAAGCAAACAAUGAGCCGGAGCCGAGCCACACCCACCCAACGGCUACACACCGGGCGUAUACUUGAUGUUAGUUUUGCUCGGGCCCAAACAUUUUACAGCAUAAAUUUUGACAGGCCGUGAGACACGGCAAUUGCUUUGGGCCCAACAACAGGAAACAGGCAAUAAAAAAGAAGAGUAGAAGACUUUACAGGACGGCAGCGAAUAGAUCGUAAGCCGUAACAAAUGUUGAGCCAUGCGUCACUCAUACGCCACGUAGCACCAGGCUGCCAGGUGGGAUGGCAGGUGACAGAGGUUAGAGGCACCUGCUGUGCGGCAUGUCAUGUGUGUGUGUGUGUGUGUACUUGAAAUGAAUGUCCUCUAGUCAAAUUGACAAUAUGCAAGUGUGUGAGUGUGAGUGGGCUGCCCGGCUGGCAGAAAAUUUCAAUAAAAACAAAUUGAUUGUUUCGAA